GAUGAACGCUGGCGGCGUGCCUAAUACAUGCAAGUCGAGCGAACAGACGAGGAGCUUGCUCCUCUGACGUUAGCGGCGGACGGGUGAGUAACACGUGGAUAACCUACCUAUAAGACUGGGAUAACUUCGGGAAACCGGAGCUAAUACCGGAUAAUAUAUUGAACCGCAUGGUUCAAUAGUGAAAGACGGUUUUGCUGUCACUUAUAGAUGGAUCCGCGCCGCAUUAGCUAGUUGGUAAGGUAACGGCUUACCAAGGCAACGAUGCGUAGCCGACCUGAGAGGGUGAUCGGCCGCACUGGAACUGAGACACGGUCCAGACUCCUACGGGAGGCAGCAGUAGGGAAUCUUCCGCAAUGGGCGAAAGCUUGACGGAGCAACGCCGCGUGAGUGAUGAAGGUCUUCGGAGCGUAAAACUCUGUUAUUAGGGAAGAACAAAUGUGUAAGUAACUAUGCACGUCUUGACGGUACCUAAUCAGAAAGCCACGGCUAACUACGUG
rnacentral:rRNA from 1 species